CUAUUGGCUUGGGAAGUUCUUGAAUGUUCCAUCUGUGAGUAUUAGACCACAAGGAAAUGAGAGGUUGAGUUGUGUUUGGUUCACCCCCCACAGCACAAACUACAGAGAAGGGGCCUGGGACAGAGAGAGGACCACAGGGAAAACACUCCAAGCAUGGGGCUCUGGAGGCCCAAGUGGAGCUGCUUUCCACUUUGUGUAUACUAGAUACACUAUAGCAGCAAGAAUGAUUCCUCGAAUGCUGAGAUAAUGGACUCUGGCCUUGGGGACCGUGAUCCCACCUUGGACCCCUGCAGCUCCGAGAACCCCCAGCUCCACCCUUGCCUCACACACAUACGCUCUUUGUGAAUGAGGAGAAUAAGACCCAGAAAACAGAAGCC
ensembl:lincRNA